GAGAUCAAAGAAGUUCGCGCGGGCGACAUCGCGGCUGCUAUCGGCCUGAAAGACGUGACUACCGGUGACACCCUGUGUGAUCCGGAAAACCCGAUCAUUCUGGAACGUAUGGAAUUCCCUGAGCCGGUAAUCUCCAUCGCGGUAGAACCGAAAACCAAAGCUGACCAGGAAAAAAUGGGUCUGGCUCUGGGCCGUCUGGCGAAAGAAGACCCGUCGUUCCGCGUAUGGACUGAUGAAGAAUCUAACCAGACCAUCAUCGCUGGUAUGGGUGAACUUCACCUAGAUAUCAUCGUUGACCGUAUGAAGCGUGAAUUCAACGUUGAAGCGAACGUGGGUAAACCUCAGGUUGCUUACCGCGAAGCGAUUCGCGCGAAAGUUACCGACAUCGAAGGUAAACACGCGAAACAGUCUGGUGGUCGCGGUCAGUAUGGUCAUGUUGUUAUCGACAUGUACCCGCUGGAGCCGGGCUCUAACCCGAAAGGUUACGAGUUCAUCAACGACAUCAAAGGUGGUGUAAUUCCUGGCGAGUACAUCCCGGCCGUUGAUAAAGGCAUCCAGGAGCAGCUGAAAUCUGGCCCGCUGGCGGGUUAUCCGGUAGUUGAUCUCGGUGUGCGUCUGCACUUCGGUUCUUACCAUGACGUUGACUCCUCUGAGCUGGCGUUUAAACUGGCUGCGUCUAUCGCCUUUAAAGAAGGCUUUAAGAAAGCAAAACCAGUUCUGCUUGAGCCGAUCAUGAAGGUUGAAGUAGAAACACCUGAAGAGAAUACCGGUGACGUUAUCGGCGACCUUAGCCGCCGUCGUGGUAUGCUCAAAGGUCAGGAAUCUGAAGUUACAGGCGUUAAGAUCCACGCUGAAGUACCGCUGUCUGAAAUGUUCGGAUAUGCAACUCAGCUGCGUUCUCUGACCAAAGGUCGCGCAUCGUACACUAUGGAAUUCCUGAAGUAUGAUGAUGCGCCGAACAACGUUGCUCAGGCCGUAAUCGAAGCCCGUGGUAAAUAAGCCGCAGGGUUAAAAACCAAAAUCCCGUGCUCUCUCCUGAAGGGGAGAGCGCUAUAGUAAGGAAUAUAGCCGUGUCUAAAGAAAAAUUUGAACGUACAAAACCGCACGUUAACGUCGGCACCAUCGGCCACGUUGACCACGGUAAAACUACCCUGACCGCUGCAAUCACCACCGUACUGGCUAAAACCUACGGCGGUGCUGCUCGUGCAUUCGACCAGAUCGAUAACGCUCCGGAAGAAAAAGCGCGUGGUAUCACCAUCAACACUUCUCACGUUGAAUACGAUACCCCGACCCGCCACUACGCACACGUAGACUGCCCGGGGCACGCCGACUAUGUAAAAAACAUGAUCACCGGUGCUGCNAGGUAGAGAAUACCAAGGCGCUUGAGAGAACUCGGGUGAAGGAACUAGGCAAAAUGGUGCCGUAACUUCGGGAGAAGGCACGCUGACACGUAGGUGAAGUGAUUUACUCACGGAGCUGAAGUCAGCCGAAGAUACCAGCUGGCUGCAACUGUUUAUUAAAAACACAGCACUGUGCAAACACGAAAGUGGACGUAUACGGUGUGACGCCUGCCCGGUGCCGGAAGGUUAAUUGAUGGGGUCAGCGCAAGCGAAGCUCCUGAUCGAAGCCCCGGUAAACGGCGGCCGUAACUAUAACGGUCCUAAGGUAGCGAAAUUCCUUGUCGGGUAAGUUCCGACCUGCACGAAUGGCGUAAUGAUGGCCAGGCUGUCUCCACCCGAGACUCAGUGAAAUUGAACUCGCUGUGAAGAUGCAGUGUACCCGCGGCAAGACGGAAAGACCCCGUGAACCUUUACUAUAGCUUGACACUGAACAUUGAGCCUUGAUGUGUAGGAUAGGUGGGAGGCUUUGAAGUGUGGACGCCAGUCUGCAUGGAGCCGACCUUGAAAUACCACCCUUUAAUGUUUGAUGUUCUAACGUGGACCCGUGAUCCGGGUUGCGGACAGUGUCUGGUGGGUAGUUUGACUGGGGCGGUCUCCUCCUAAAGAGUAACGGAGGAGCACGAAGGUUGGCUAAUCCUGGUCGGACAUCAGGAGGUUAGUGCAAUGGCAUAAGCCAGCUUGACUGCGAGCGUGACGGCGCGAGCAGGUGCGAAAGCAGGUCAUAGUGAUCCGGUGGUUCUGAAUGGAAGGGCCAUCGCUCAACGGAUAAAAGGUACUCCGGGGAUAACAGGCUGAUACCGCCCAAGAGUUCAUAUCGACGGCGGUGUUUGGCACCUCGAUGUCGGCUCAUCACAUCCUGGGGCUGAAGUAGGUCCCAAGGGUAUGGCUGUUCGCCAUUUAAAGUGGUACGCGAGCUGGGUUUAGAACGUCGUGAGACAGUUCGGUCCCUAUCUGCCGUGGGCGCUGGAGAACUGAGGGGGGCUGCUCCUAGUACGAGAGGACCGGAGUGGACGCAUCACUGGUGUUCGGGUUGUCAUGCCAAUGGCACUGCCCGGUAGCUAAAUGCGGAAGAGAUAAGUGCUGAAAGCAUCUAAGCACGAAACUUGCCCCGAGAUGAGUUCUCCCUGAGACUUUAGGUCUCCUGAAGGAACGUUGAAGACGACGACGUUGAUAGGCCGGGUGUGUAAGCGCAGCGAUGCGUUGAGCUAACCGGUACUAAUGAACCGUGAGGCUUAACCUU
rnacentral:rRNA from 1 species